CCCAAAUUAAAAAUAUCCAAAGAUUACACUUCUGUGAAAUGUGUUCUCCCUCCCCUCUCUCUUCCCUGGUUCCCUCCCCAGAGACAACUGAGAAAUUGUUACCAGUUCUUUGAUGGUCCUAGCCAGAGCUGGUCUAUAUAUUCCCUUUUCCCUAUAAUGGUGCUGACACCAGGACAAUAAUAUAAGUUGACACAGAUAUGGGGCUGCCACUGAGGAGAGAGAAGACUGAAAGAAGCACAUAGAUAAAAGGUAGAUAGGUUCUGAGGAUGAGGGCUAAUUUUCAGCUGGCAGAAUCAGGGGCUGCUUCAAGGAGGAGGUGGCCACUGAUAUAAACUGUCGUUUUGGGAGGAGUUAAAAUUAAUAGUUGUUAUUUAG
rnacentral:lncRNA from 1 species